UACGUAGGUGGCAAGCGUUGUCCGGAUUUACUGGGCGUAAAGGGCGCGUAGGCGGCCUGCUAAGUCGAACGUGAAAUCCCUGGGCUCAACCCAGGAACUGCGUCCGAUACUGGUUGGCUUGAAUCCGGGAGAGGGAUGUGGAAUUCCAGGUGUAGCGGUGAAAUGCGUAGAUAUCUGGAGGAACACCGGUGGCGAAGGCGACAUCCUGGACCGGUAUUGACGCUGAGGCGCGAAAGCCAGGGGAGCAAACGGG
rnacentral:rRNA from 1 species